rnacentral:lncRNA from 1 species
GACUGGUUUGCUCGCAACCAAACUUUUUUGAGUAUUGAUUAUUUUUAACGAAUUAGACUACAAAUUUUCUUCAUCAUUUUUCUUCAAGCUAGCUAUCUCAUAGGAAUAUCAAUGAGGCACUCUCCUUUCUUUGAAGAAGAUUUUGGUACCCUGGAGCACACAUAGCUUAAAAUGAUAUCAAGUUUGUUCACUUUUAUUAUUUCGACAUGAUUAACAGCUACUAGUCCACUUGUCUAGAUGCUUACAAGCUAGCCAAGCCUUUCUGCAGCUGCAUCGACGAUGGUCUGCACAAAGGACGGCCACUGGAGCUCGUCGGCGGCGGCUGGGCCGGGGUUGCGGGCGGAGCAGUUCCGGCGGACCUCUCCCAGGUCGCUGGUGCGCACCCUCAUCUGGCCCAUCUUGCCCAUGGACACGCCGAACUGCUCGAAGAAGUCCCGCUGGCUUCGUGCAAAGCGCUCAACGAUGGGCCGGGUGAUGUCGUUGGUGAAGAGGUCCUGGUCGGAGACGAAGAGCCCCUCCCGGUUCACCAGGUCGACAUAGUACUGGUUGUCGAACACGUUGGGCGUGCGCACGUCCAGCACGGUGCGUCGGUCGGUGCCCUUGGCAGGGCACGUCC